rnacentral:rRNA from 1 species
GACGAACGCUGGCGGCGUGCCUAAUACAUGCAAGUCGAGCGGUACUGGGGGAGCUUGCUCCUUCCAGUUUAGCGGCGGACGGGUGAGUAACACGUGGGCAACCUGCCCUGCAGAUCGGGAUAACUCCGGGAAACCGGUGCUAAUACCGAAUAGUUUGGCGCCUCUCCUGAGGCGCCACGGAAAGACGGUUUCGGCUGUCACUGCAGGAUGGGCCCGCGGCGCAUUAGCUAGUUGGUGGGGUAACGGCCCACCAAGGCGACGAUGCGUAGCCGACUUGAGGGGGUGACGGGCCACACUGGGACUGAGACACGGCCCAGACGCCUACGGGAGGCAGCAGUAGGGAAUCUUCCGCAAUGGACGCAAGUCUGACGGAGCAACGCCGCGUGAGUGACGAAGGUUUUCGGAUCGUAAAACUCUGUUGUGAGGGAAGAACACGUACCAACUAACUAUUGGUACCUUGACGGUACCUCACCAGAAAGCCACGGCUAACUACGUGCCAGCAGCCGCGGUAA